rnacentral:lncRNA from 1 species
AGGCCGAAAUUGAAGUAGGACCAAGAAUUCUUUUCUUUUUCUUUUAAUGGAUUUUCCAAACUCAAUUUUUUAAUUGAAUUUUUGAAUCAAACUCUCUUUUGCUUAAAUCCACACAUCACAAAAAUUAAUGCUGCAGCAUGUAUGCAUCAACAUAUGUUUCUAACCUUAUAUUAAAUUUUAACUUCCCAAAAUUUAUUUAUUUUCCUAUAUUUUAAUACUCACAAAAUUGACUC